AUGGUGGCUGACACUGGUGCAGCAGGAGGGUCUGGAAGACAUCAGGGGUAGGUGGGGGCAGGAUUAGGAGGCUUCCAUAGUGGUCUUAGGGACAGAAGUGUGGUGGAGGCCACAGGGCUCCUGGUGGUAAAGCUGAAUUAGUGGAUCCCUGUCACCAAGCUGGGCCACCUGGUAAAGGGCAUAAAGAUCAAGUCCUUGGAGAUCUACCUGUUCUCCCUGCCCAUUAAGGAGUUUGAGAUCAUUAACUUUUUCCUGGGUGCGUCCCUAAAGGAUGAGGUUCUGAAAACCAUGCCAGUGCAGACACAGACUCGGGUGGACAGCGAGCAGGUUCAAGGCUUUCGUCACUGCUGGGGACGACAGUGGUCACGUUGGUCUUCGUGUUAAGUGCUCCAAGGAGGUUGCCACUGCCAUUCAAGGGGCCAUCACCUUGGCCAAGCUUUCCAUCGCCCCUGUGUGGAGACUGGCAAGCCCCACACUGUUCCAUGCAAGGUGACAGGCUGCUGUGGCUCUGUGCUGGUGCGCCUCAUCCCUGCCCCAGAGGCAGGCACUGUUUCUGCCUCUGUGCCCAAGAAGCUCCUGAUGGUGUUGACAGUAUUGUUGACUGCUGCACUUCAGCCGGGGGGCAGCAACUUUGCCAAGGCCACCUUUUGAUGCCAUUUCCAAGACUACAGCUACCUGACUCCCAACCUCUGGAAAGAGACUCUGACCACCACGCCUCCUUAUCAAGAAUUCACUGAUCAUCUUGUGAAAACCCACACCAGAGUCUCUGUUCAGAGGACCCAAGCUCCAGCUGAGGCUACCACAUAA
rnacentral:lncRNA from 1 species